UUUCUGGCCCUCCCUGAGUUGGCGCUUUUCCGGUAUUUUGCCCGAGUUUGGUAUCCUAGGUCCUCUUCUUUCGGGAGGACUGGCUGUUGUAAAUCCGUUCGGCCUAUUUAUGUUUUUGAUCCCUCCGGGACGAAAACUGUUAGCAGGGGAUACGGUUAGUCUCUUUCCUCCCUCCGUGAACAAAGGCGAUACACGCCCGGCAAAGGUCGCUACGGCGAACGGGAUGCCUAACAAUCAAAAAUAUCUCCUAAAUGCUAACAGCAAAUUUUAUUCAAUACAACUUUGUUUUCCCUUAACAAAUGGGGAUAAUCAUCCGUUUACAACGAAAAUCCUCUCGUACAGGGGUCGCAUGCAGGCAGGUAAGACCCUGCCCUGCAGCCCGCGCAAGGGCUUUUACCCGGCACCAUAUUAGCCAAUUAAAUUAGCCAUUUGAAAUAUAAUAUAUGCAUAAGAUCGUUUUCUAUGCUAUUGCAGAAAUAUAAACAUAGCAAUAUUGUGCAAAUACGCCUUAUACCCCGGUCACACUGC
rnacentral:lncRNA from 1 species